ACCUCACCCUGGAGAUCAUCUACCUGCUGACCGGAGAGAGUUUUCCUCUUCUGAAGUCAGGUGAUCAUGUGACCAUCACAGUGCCUCCAUGUGACUCCCUUAAACCCGAGAGACACAACAUGGAGAAGAUUCUGGAAGUCACCAAGAAGAUGAUGGAGCUGCUGGCAGGAGAGGGUUGGGGGUGUUUAGAAGACAAUAAGGACUUCUUUAA